rnacentral:lncRNA from 13 species
CAAGAUUCAACACUUUGGCCUGAAUGCCAAGUGUCACGUCUGGAGGAAACCUGGCAUAAUCCCUACGGUGAAGCAUGGUGGUGGCAGUAUCAUGCUGUGGGGGUAUUUUCCAGUGGCAGGGACUGGGAUACAGAUACAGGUGUGCCAAGCUUGUAGUGUCAUACCCAAGAAGACUCGAGGCUGUAAUCACUGCCAAAUGUGCUUCAAUAAAGUAUUGAGUAAAGGGUCUGUAUACUUAUGUAAAUGUGAUAUCUGUUUUUUGUUAACAAAUUAGCAAAAAUCUCUAAAAACCUGUUUUUGCUUUGUCAUUAUGGGUAAUUGUAUGUAGAUUGAUGAGGAGAAAAAACAAUUGAAUCCAUUUUAGAAUAAGGCUGUAACGUAACAAGAUAUGGAACAAGUCAAGGGGUCUGAAUACUUUCCGAAUGCACUGUCUAGUGUUGGGUGGUCCUUUGCAUGGGGGGGGGUGUAAGUUUCCUUUAACAGUCAGCCUUCCAGAUGGAUGACAAACACUUUGGUAUAAAACUCUUUAGUAAUAAAAUGCAAUUGCAAACAGAGAUUCACAUACAGAGUACCUCAGUAGUCUAUAGUAAACAUCUGUGUGGCGAAACAGCACUCUUUAUGCAACCUGCCGUCAAUCAUAUCUUAACGUUGUUGCAUUGGAUUACAUACAACGUAUCUACGAUGAGAAAAGCAUGUCUAGACUGUGGUUUCUCACUCUACUAUCUCGGCCUUGAGCCCGCGUGACUUAUCAGAGGCUGCAGGCAAUUCUCAGCCUGAGAAGUAAAGCAGCACAUGUCCAUUUACCCAGUACUUUUCCAUCAUUGCGCAUUGCAAGCAUACAAAAGGUUAUCACACAUAUACAUAAUAAUCAUGGCACUGGUGUAGCCCCACACCUGACCCCCCAGGGUAACCCCCGACACUAUUAUGGUAGCCUAGAGUGAUCGUUUUUGGAGGCCAUGGUGAGAGGGUGAAAGGGUUAGAUGAGCUAUCUUAGUAAUGCAGCAGGAAUCCAGACAGGCUAUUAUAAGAUCUGUGAAAUGAAUAGUCCCUGAAAUCCUUUCGUAAGUCUCCGUCUAGUGGUAUUACAAUCCCUCACUGUACACAGAGAAAGGACACUAAUGGCAAUAGGUGUACAGCGCGGUGAAGAUAAUGUACGGGUUGAUGUUAAUUGAACGACAUAAUUUCAAAGUGGAUCUUCGAUAGCUAAGGCUAUUCAGAAGAUAACUUUAGUCCUUUAAACACGUUCACUAAAUGUUCCAGUUCACAUAGAAAAAUGGCAAUCAAAUGAAAUAAAGGUGGAUCUGUGAUCAAAGAGGUAAAUCUGUAAUGAAUCUUGGCUAAUUUACCUGAUGGAUGGGUAGAGUUUAGCCUUCAGUAACCUUAGAACUUGAACACAUGCUAGAUGACCUCUGACCUUUAAUAUCCGCAGAGGUUUCUUUGUGCCCCUAAAAGACACACACACGCACACACGCCGUGGGCCGAGUGUGUUUUGUAUCAGAUAUGCUGCCUGGCCAGGUUGCAUGAAUAACACCCUGUCUUACUUGACCCCACGUGACCUGUACAUUUUCCAUGGUAAUUGAUUAAGAGCCCAGACUCAGCCAUGUUUGUUAUGAGUGAGCCACACUGUUGACCUUCACGCUGGCACAGGAUUGAGAUUGAUCCACCGUGCAGCAGACCCACAGCACAGCACCAUUUGAUUGUGUGGUAUCAUUUCACCAGGGUGGGAUGACGUUACGUCACUGUGAAAACAAGAUACAGAAUAGGGAAAUCUGCUGAAUUGGGUACCUUCUUUGACGGGGUUCAAAGACACAAGGAAUGAAUGCAUCCUUCAUAGUCCAGUUUACUUAGUUCUGUUCCGUCCUCUUUUGUAAAGUAGAAUGCAAUUAGUACCCUUUCAUUAUAUAUUUUGUAUUAGAUCAUUACGCUCAGAUGACUAACGCACGAAACGCACAGAAAUCUCAACUUAGAUUUAUUCUUACAAAACUUCCAGAUCAGGGUGUUCAGCAACGAAGAUAAAAAAAUGACGCAUUGGUGUCCUCAGGGGUGUGAAAGGAGUAUGCCCUCCUCUGCCAUCAUUUAUUCAGCUUCCUGCCAGCCCUACAGUUCCCACAGAUCACAGAGAGCACUCUCUGUUUUCCCCCUGAGUGUGUCGGCUGGCGCCACGCCAGGACGGGCUGAGCUGCUACUCUGAGGGACGAGGACAAGGGACGGCAGGCCCAGCCCAGUGAGACCAGAGACAAUGGGCGGUGACACACCGACUGACUGACUCAGCCUGGCUGGCCUGGGCUCUGUCACACACACGCUCUGUCUCCUCUCCUUCUGUCUUCUCUUUCAGCCUGCUAGACCAGGUGGAGGCUGCAGUCUGCAGGGACAAGAGGGGGACUACUGUAUGAACGGUUUUACUCUAUGACAUUGUACUCGUGAGAUGGCGCUUUGUCCUUCAUACUGUAUCUUCGACCAGCACCAAGUAGGACGUCGUUUUAAGUCCUUGUGUAUGUACUGUGUUGGUAACCAACAGGCAUUUUCAGUGACAUUUCAGUUGUUUAAUAAACAUACUUGAACACCAU